rnacentral:rRNA from 1 species
GUUUGAUCCUGGCUCAGGAUGAACGCUGGCGGCGUGCCUAAUACAUGCAAGUCGAGCGAACGGACGAGAGUGCUUGCACUCUUUGAUGUUAGCGGCGGACGGGUGAGUAACACGUGGGUAACCUACCUAUAAGACUGGGAUAACUUCGGGAAACCGGAGCUAAUACCGGAUAAUAUUUUUCUCUGCAUGGAGGAAUAGUGAAAGACGGUUUUGCUGUCACUUAUAGAUGGACCCGCGGUGUAUUAGCUAGUUGGUGAGGUAACGGCUCACCAAGGCAACGAUACAUAGCCGACCUGAGAGGGUGAUCGGCCACACUGGGACUGAGACACGGCCCAGACUCCUACGGGAGGCAGCAGUAGGGAAUCUUCCGCAAUGGACGAAAGUCUGACGGAGCAACGCCGCGUGAGUGAAGAAGGUUUUCGGAUCGUAAAACUCUGUUGUAAGGGAAGAA